CGCAGGAAGCCUCAGCUCCGAGUGGUCCCGGGGGGUGCAGUUGAGGCUGUUUUGACUGGGCCGUUCCGACGGCAGCGCUUUGACCCAGUUGGCACUGGCAGGAUUGAAGCCGAGGAGGAAGACGGUGAGCCAGCCACCCUUAGAACAUUCCAGAACCGUCUGUCCGAGAGGCCCAACCUGGUGGCGAGUCGCCUCUGUGCCUGUGGCCCCCAGGAAGUGAUUUACAUUGCGGCUGCAAGGCGUUUCUACACGUGGGUUACAGCCCCUCCUCUUGCUGCUCUCACAGUAAAUCAGGCAAACAGUACUGUGUAUUUUGCAGAAACUGCGCGCAAGCCUGGGGAGACCCUUUGCCUCACAGGUAUCUACAUAUUCAAAGUUCAACUCGGUGAACAACUGGCGAGGUUUGGCUACGCUGUUAUCCACGGACCCGUGACGCAGGAUGCCGUCGGUGCUUCCCAAGCUGCUGUCGGGGUUGCCCGCCCGCGCACAGCCUCCUCCAGGCCCUUCGAACCUCUUUGCUCCUGGCUGGGGAGGGUGAAGUCCGUGAACUUGGGCUUGAGUAUGCAGCCCAGUAGUUUGUCCCCUUGGGAGUCCAGCAGGAUGAGCGUCCGUGAGCUGGGCCCCUCCGCCCGCCAGCGCAUGGUGCCAUCGGGUGGAGUCCAGAGGCCACCGGGACUUUGGUACAGCCGGACUUGUGGCGGCGGCGGCGGCGGCGGGGCAGGCGGGCGGGCGGCGAACCUAGUGCACCCAGACCCUGCAGCCCCCUGGGGCCGCCCCUCACCUUCACCGCCAGCAGCUCCCCGCAGAAUGCACCGCAACCCCCUGCGGUAUAAAUAUUGAAUAAAAUCCUAUCAAGGGAGAAUGAGGGGCUCAUGAUCAAGGAAUUCAAGGUGACGUUUACUUUCAUUUCAUGGAGCUGGGGAAUGGGAUGGGAAAUCCCACAGCUAGUAUUUGGUGCUUGUCAAGAACUUAGCUUUUGUUUUUUUUCCUUGAAUGGUGGAGUUACAGGUGCUUCUUGGAUUUAAAAUAAAUCAUCAACUAAGUAAGUACA
rnacentral:lncRNA from 1 species